rnacentral:rRNA from 1 species
UACGAAGGGUGCAAGCGUUACUCGGAAUUACUGGGCGUAAAGCGUGCGUAGGUGGUUUUUUAAGUCCGUUGUGAAAGCCCUGGGCUCAACCUGGGAAUGGCAGUGGAUACUGGAAAGCUAGAGUGCGGUAUAGGGUAGUGGAAUUCCCGGUGUAGCAGUGAAAUGCGUAGAGAUCGGGAGGAACACCAGUGGCGAAGGCGGCUACCUGGACCAGCACUGACACUGAGGCACGAAAGCGUGGGGAGCAAACAGG